rnacentral:rRNA from 1 species
CCCGUCUUGAGUCGUGACACACCCACGAUCUCCCCUCUUUUCUCCACCUCUAUUUUUCCUCGUUCCACCCACGCAUCUCCUAAUUCACUCCCACGAUCCCCCAAACACAUCGUCUCCCUCCUCACGAAAGGGGGCCAUCUAGCUAUGCGGACAAGGAGGCGGCCAACGAGUGCAAGCGAAGGUGAGAGGUGCUCGUGGCAGAGUACGGGGAGGUGUGGCGCCGAUUGCUGCUCGCCAGCCUGCCGCAGGGGAGAUCCCCGAUAGCCACCGCAGCUCUCGCUCCUCGUCGCGACCGCGUUGGUUGUGAUGUACCCGGCCCAGGCGCCACCCCGUGUGGCUUUCUUCUCCGUUGUCAUUCGUGGGCAGUGGAUCGUUCGCGCUUCGCCGUUGACUCGUCCUCCCGCCUUUCUAGGUGGCCAUGUCUGCUUUACGCUCCGCCAACGACAACGUCUCCCCUGGCCGCCUGUCCCGCCCUGCCUCCAAAUCGAGCCACUACAGUCUGAAG